UACACUUCGCCCGCCACAGGUGCCUUGCACGCCGGUCCAUACCGGCGCGCAGGGUGAAACGGGAAGUCGGUGCGGACGUGAUCGUCCAAUUCCGACGCUGCCCCCGCAACGGUAGGCGAGAACACCCGACGUUGACCACUGCGCUCGCGCGGGAAGGUGUCGGGGUGAUGCUUCGGCAUCGCUCGCAAGCCCGGAGACCGGCCCGUGGCGGACAUCGGGA
rnacentral:ncRNA from 1 species